UACGUAGGGUGCAAGCGUUAAUCGGAAUUACUGGGCGUAAAGCGUGCGCAGGCGGUUUUGUAAGUCUGACGUGAAAUCCCCGGGCUUAACCUGGGAAUUGCGUUGGAGACUGCAAGGCUGGGAGUCUGGCAGAGGGGGGGUAGAAUUCCACGUGUAGCAGUGAAAUGCGUAGAGAUGUGGAGGAACACCGAUGGCGAAGGCAGCCCCCCUGGGUCAAGACUGACGCUCAUGCA
rnacentral:rRNA from 1 species